rnacentral:tRNA from 1 species
AUUUAUUUAAUAUAUUAAGUAUAUUUGACUUCCAAUCAAAAAGUUUGUAAAACAAAAUAAGUA